rnacentral:rRNA from 1 species
GAUGAACGCUGGCGGCGUGCCUAAUACAUGCAAGUCGAGCGAACAGACGAGGAGCUUGCUCCUCUGACGUUAGCGGCGGACGGGUGAGUAACACGUAGGUAACCUACCUAUAAGACUGGGAUAACUUCGGGAAACCGGAGCUAAUACCGGAUAAUAUUUUGAACCGCAUGGUUCGAUAGUGAAAGACGGCUUUGCUAUCACUUAUAGAUGGAUCUGCGCCGCAUUAGCUAGUUGGUAAGGUAACGGCUUACCAAGGCAACGAUACGUAGCCGACCUGAGAGGGUGAUCGGCCACACUGGAACUGAGACACGGUCCAGACUCCUACGGGAGGCAGCAGUAGGGAAUCUUCCGCAAUGGGCGAAAGCCUGACGGAGCAACGCCGCGUGAGUGAUGAAGGUCUUCGGAUCGUAAAACUCUGUUAUUAGGGAAGAACAAACGUGUAAGUAACUGUGCACGUCUUGACGGUACCUAAUCAGAAAGCCACGGCUAACUACGUG